GAUGAACGCUGGCGGCGUGCCUAAUACAUGCAAGUCGAGCGAAUGGAUUAAGAGCUUGCUCUUAUGAAGUUAGCGGCGGACGGGUGAGUAACACGUGGGUCACAUGCCCAUAAGACUGGGAUAACUCCGGGAAACCGGGGCCAAUCCCGGAUAACAUUUUGAACAGCAUGGUUCGAAAUUCAAAGGCGGCUUCGGCUGUCACUUAUGGAUGGACCCGCGUCGCAUUAGCUAGUUGGUGAGGUAACGGCUCCCAAAGGCAACGAUGCGUAGCCGACCUGAGAGGGUGAUCGGCCACGCUGGGACUGAGACACGGCCCAGACUCCUACGGGAGGCAGCAGUAGGGAAUCUUCCGCAAUGGACGAAAGUCUGACGGAGCAACGCCGCGUGAGUGAUGAAGGCUUUCGGGUCGUAAAACUCUGUUGUUAGGGAAGAACAAGUGCUAGUUGAAUAAGCUGGCACCUUGACGGUACCUAACCAGAAAGCCACGGCUAACUACGUGCCAGCCGCCGCGGUAA
rnacentral:rRNA from 1 species